rnacentral:rRNA from 1 species
AGACACGGUCCAGACUCCUACGGGAGGCAGCAGUGGGGAAUCUUCCGCAAUGGGCGAAAGCCUGACGGAGCAACGCCGCGUGAGUGAUGACGGCCUUCGGGUUGUAAAACUCUGUGAUCCGGGACGAAAAGGCAGAGUGCGAAGAACAAACUGCAUUGACGGUACCGGAAAAGCAAGCCACGGCUAACUACGUGCCAGCAGCCGCGGUAAUACGUAGGUGGCAAGCGUUGUCCGGAAUUAUUGGGCGUAAAGCGCGCGCAGGCGGCUUCCCAAGUCCCUCUUAAAAGUGCGGGGCUUAACCCCGUGAUGGGAAGGAAACUGGGAAGCUGGAGUAUCGGAGAGGAAAGUGGAAUUCCUAGUGUAGCGGUGAAAUGCGUAGAGAUUAGGAAGAACACCGGUGGCGAAGGCGACUUUCUGGACGAAAACUGACGCUGAGGCGCGAAAGCGUGGGGAGCAAACAGGAUCAGAUACCCUGGUAGUCCACGCCGUAAAC